UUCAUAUUUUAAUUAUUUUUAAAAUUUUAAAUAAAUAUUUUUAAAACUUAUAGUGUAACCUUUUUUGAAGAAUAAGUACUUUUUUUUUAUAAAAUAAACUGAAACAAGUAUCUGUGAUAAAUCAUGCAACCAAUAUUACAAAAAGAUCUAAUUUAUGUUUGUGAGAAAUAUCUGGUUCAGCCCAUUGUCGGAGCCCAUUUGGUUGUCCAGUGCAGUGCAUAUUGAGCGAUCUCAUUUAUCCUGUUAUGAGGGAAGAGAGAGAAGAAGAAGAGGAUGGAGAUAACGGGGGUUUAGCUGAGGGAUUGCAUUUGCUAAAUCAUUUCAUUCACAACGGCCAAGAAUGCUUGUCGAUCAUUCGCCGUUUGUUCGGCCUUCAAGGAAUCUGCAGAUUCCGAUGAGACGUGGGAAGCUUUUCUGCCGUCCGAUUGCCGAGACUUGGUCUCCCAAUCAUCUUCUCCGAACUUGAUAUCUCUUCCGAACAAACAACUCUGCCUUCACGUCUCUGAUCACCCCCUUCUUGUGGCCGAUAAAACUAAGGUAAAGGUCAAUUCCCACUUUAACUUUCUGUUUUCGUCUUGCUUGAUCGGAACUUUCUUGUUAUCCAAACUGCAUUUUCGCUCCUCUACUUCUUGGGAUUCUAUUUCAUUUGAAAUCACUUUUAUGCAAAAUAGUGCUAUUGGUUGAUGAUUGAUGUGGAUAGAACAGAGUUUUUCCCUGACAAAAGAGAGUGGCAAGAAGUUUUACAUGAUAGGGGCAAAGGGGCUUUGCAUUAUCUGGGGAGAUACGCCUUGCUACUGAAAUUGGAUUUCAAUUCCAGAAUCCAGAUUUUCCCAAGUAGCAGAGCUCAACCAUGUAUGGUGGUUUGAAGUGAAGGGCAACUUAAAGAUUAGGCUUCUGUCCCCAAAAACAUCAUAUGAUGUGUUCUUCAUCUUCAAGUUUGGAAGCGACAGAUUCGGAUUCACAGAUGCACCGGAAAGUUUCAGUCUCACUAAAGGAGGUCAGUGUAGGUCUCUGGGAGUGGUUCUGGACUUUUUGAUGUUACGCAGAGAGAAGAUGGAUGUAUGGAAAUUAAGGUGGGGAAUUUUUCACUGAAGAAGAAGAUAGUGAUGAUGAUGGCUUCGUGGAGUUUAGAGCAUGGCAGACUGAAGCUUAUAUUAAAGAAGGCAUUUUAGUUGAAGGAAUUGAGUUCAGGCCUACAAAGAAUGACUAGAAGACGAAAGUUGUAUGCAUAUUUCAGCAUGGGAUAAACCUUACGCCUUGCUUGGUUUGUGGAGUGAUUUUCAUGGAAUUUUGAAUGAUGUUAAGAAUGAGAAUGAGAAUGGAAUGUAAUGGAACGAGAUAGUUAUGUUUACUAAUGCCAUGGAAAGGAAUGAAAAGUUUAGGAAAAAUUUUAUGCUUCGAGUCCAUUUUCUAAGGCACCAAAAUUACCAUAAAAAGCUUUGCAUUGUUUAUUCAUUUUGCUGUUUUUCAUAUUGAGAUUGUUACCACCUCUCGGGGGGACCGCAAGCAUGUGAGGCCUGUAAGCCUCUUCCCAAUCGGGGUUUUUAAUCUGCAAACUUGGAGGACAUAAGACAUACGCUGCGUGAUUUUAUCCAACCAGGUCUGUGGAGCAAGUUUAAAAGGCCAAGUGGUAUGGAAUGGCUGGUCUGGAAUCUGGAAAACCUGGCAGGCUGAGAUUUUACUAAGAAAAUACCGUGGGAUACAGUGUUUGGAUAUUUUUGUUGGGACAUCUGGACUAGUAGAUGUGAGAGAAUCUUUGAACUUGAGGAGCAUAUGGAACCUACACAUUGCCUGAAUAGCUUUUACAAAGCUUGUGCUGAUUUCCAGUUCUUCCACGCACAAUCUUUAGAUCCAUGUGUCAACGAAGCUAGAACCCGAUGAUCCGAUCCUAGAGAGGGUUAUGUCAGGUUAGACAUUGAUAGUUCUGUAGUUGUAGGGGAGUUAUUUGCGACUCCAAUGCUGACUGGUUGUGGCGUUUUGCUUGUAAAAUUGACUCUUUUCCUUCUGCAAUAGCAGUUGUGGGGAUCAACGAGGCAUUUAACCUUUGCUGGCAAGGAGGGCUAAAGCUGUGAGUAUGAUUAACGGUGGAAUUUGUAUAAACCCCCCCUUUAGCGACAUUGUUGAAAUUGCUAGGCUUUUCUUUAGAAGAGAUUGGGACAUCUCCAUCUCUUUUGUUUAUCGAGAAGCCAAUCAGUUAUCUCAUGUCAUUGAAUGUAUCUUUUGUACGGAGUUUAUGGAUGACGAAAAGAUGAAGCUUUGCUGUGA